ACACUCCCUCACAAGACAAGACAAGACAGGAGAUUGGGUUCACGAGAACGAGACAAGAUUUUAAUGCUAUGUUAAAGAAAACUUCAAUUAAGAAAUAUGACUGUAAAAUAGUCUUUCCUCAGAGAACCAAGGUGACAACUUAACCAAGUGUUUCAUUGCAGUAGUAAACAAGGAAGUAGGCUGCUCUUGUAUUGAUUUAUGACCUUUAUAAGACUAGGGGAGAACAUUUCUUUGUUU